GUGGAACUGGGUAGCUCUCCUGGCUGGCGGUUCCCAGGGUUACAACCGGGGGCGGGGAUUCCCAGCUGCCUGAAGACGUUUUGCUGGAGUCGCGGGGUUCUAGGUGGAACUCGGAGUUGUCGCUGCAAGUGGUCGGUAUUUAAGACAACAUCUGCAACACUGGAGAGGAAGUAGAUGCCCUGGAAAAUAGAACUCAGCAGUGUAUCCCUGUGAAACUUGAGGGCUGGCUGCUUUGGAACAUUCAUGGGUAUUUUGGAAUCUACCGACCUCCAGGUUUCUGUGCCCCGCCUCUCCUGGCUUUCAGAAUUCCCAUACUAGGUUUGGUGAUUGGGACAGGAUUGCACCUAGUGAAAAACGUGUACAGAAGAUCUGCUUCAUCCCCAUUCUGAAGGCUUCGCGUGAUCAGCUUCUCAGAGGAGACUCUGUAAGAGAAAAUGACAAAACAAAGAAGGUCACAAUGGAGUUUGAAGAAGCCAUCCCUCAAUGGCUAAGCACAUGCUAAGUACUUCUGGAAGAAAUUCAACGCCAGCGAUGCUCAAUUUGAGGUUUGUCACGUGGCAUUUUGGUACAGGAAGAGCAAACACACUAAGAAAGAAAGUUCCUCAGGCAUGCCUAGAAGGUCAACCUCGAGCUCAUGAUCCUGUUGCUUCAGUCUCCAGAGGCAGCUGGUAUUGCAGGUAUUCACCCCACCACACCUGUUUGCCUGUUGUG